rnacentral:tRNA from 1 species
GGAGGUGUGGCGAAAUUGGUAAACGCAAUGCUGACUGGUGUAGAUUGAUUAACAAAUAUUGUGUAAGAGCGAUAGGAAAACAAUACGGAACUCAGCUUAAGCCAAAAAACUACCAGACAAUUGGUUGCCGGUUCGAAUCCGGCCACCUCCA